rfam:Klebsiella pneumoniae subsp. pneumoniae MGH 78578 plasmid pKPN3, complete sequence.
GAGAGGCUCAGGUCUCACAAAAUUUGAGAAUCGCUGAUGUGAAGGGUUGGCCCCCUUCACAUCAGCUGCCCAUAGAAUCCUGUUGAGGAGGCUCCUAUGUGU